rnacentral:rRNA from 1 species
GACGAACGCUGGCGGCGUGCUUAACACAUGCAAGUCGAACGGAAAGGCCUCUUUCGGGGGGUACUCGAGUGGCGAACGGGUGAGUAACACGUGAGUAACCUGCCCUUGACUUUGGGAUAACUUCAGGAAACUGGGGCUAAUACCGGAUAGGAGCUCCUGCCGCAUGGUGGGGGGUGGAAAGUUUUGGCGGUUGGGGAUGGACUCGCGGCCUAUCAGGUUGUUGGUGGGGUAGUGGGUUAACAAGGCUUUGACGGGUAGGCGGCCUGAGAGGGUGGACAGCCACAUUUGGACUGAGAUACGGCCCAGACUCCGACGGGAGGCAGGAGGUGGGAAUAUUGGACAAUGGGUGGAAGCCUGAUGCAGCAACGCCGGGGGCGGGAAUACGGCCUUCGGGUUGUAAACCGCCUUCGCUCAUGACGAAGCUUUGUGUGACGGUAGUGGGUAAAGAAGCACCGGCUAACUACGUG